CGAAGUUAACGCAAUAAGCACUCCGCCUGGGGAGUACGGCCGCAAGGCUGAAACUCAAAGGAAUUGACGGGGGCCCGCACAAGCGGUGGAGCAUGUGGUUUAAUUCGAAGCAACGCGAAGAACCUUACCAGGUCUUGACAUCCUGUGGCACCUCUUGGGAUUGGGAGUUUUCUUCGGGACCAGAGUGACAGGUGGUGCAUGGUUGUCGUCAGCUCGUGUCGUGAGAUGUUGGGUUAAGUCCCGCAACGAGCGCAACCCUUGAUCUUAGUUGCCAUCAUUAAGUUGGGCACUCUAAGGAGACUGCCGGUGACAAGCCGGAGGAAGGUGGGGAUGACGUCAAAUCAUCAUGCCCCUUAUGUCCUGGGCUACACACGUGCUACAAUGGAUGAACAAAGAGCAGCAAGCUCGCGAGGUGGAGCCAAUCUCAUAAAACCGUUCUCAGUUCGGAUUGUAGGCUGCAACUCGCCUACAUGAAGCUGGAAUCGCUAGUAAUCGCGGAUCAGC
rnacentral:rRNA from 1 species